rnacentral:rRNA from 1 species
UGGGGGAUAUUGCACAAUGGGCGAAAGCCUGAUGCAGCGACGCCGCGUGGGGGAUGAAGGCUUUCGGGUUGUAAACCUCUUUCGCUAUCGAACAAGGCCCGCUUAGGGUGGGUUGAGGGUAGGUGGAGAAGAAGCGCCGGCUAACUACGUGCCAGCAGCCGCGGUAAUACGUAGGGCGCGCGCGUUGUCCGGAAUUAUUGGGCGUAAAGGGCUUGUAGGCGGCUUGUUGCGCCUGCUGUGAAAACGCGGGGCUUAACUUCGCACGUGCAGUGGGUACGGGCAGGCUUGAGUGUGGUAGGGGGGACUGGAAUUCCAGGUGUAGCGGUGGAAUGCGCAGAUAUCUGGAGGAACACCGAUGGCGAAGGCAGGUCACUGGGCCAUUACUGACGCUGAGGAGCGAAAGCAUGGGUAGCGAACAGG